rnacentral:rRNA from 1 species
GUGGGUAGUUUGACUGGGGCGGUCUCCUCCUAAAGAGUAACGGAGGAGCACGAAGGUUGGCUAAUCCUGGUCGGACAUCAGGAGGUUAGUGCAAUGGCAUAAGCCAGCUUGACUGCGAGCGUGACGGCGCGAGCAGGUGCGAAAGCAGGUCAUAGUGAUCCGGUGGUUCUGAAUGGAAGGGCCAUCGCUCAACGGAUAAAAGGUACUCCGGGGAUAACAGGCUGAUACCGCCCAAGAGUUCAUAUCGACGGCGGUGUUUGGCACCUCGAUGUCGGCUCAUCACAUCCUGGGGCUGAAGUAGGUCCCAAGGGUAUGGCUGUUCGCCAUUUAAAGUGGUACGCGAGCUGGGUUUAGAACGUCGUGAGACAGUUCGGUCCCUAUCUGCCGUGGGCGCUGGAGAACUGAGGGGGGCUGCUCCUAGUACGAGAGGACCGGAGUGGACGCAUCACUGGUGUUCGGGUUGUCAUGCCAAUGGCACUGCCCGGUAGCUAAAUGCGGAAGAGAUAAGUGCUGAAAGCAUCUAAGCACGAAACUUGCCCCGAGAUGAGUUCUCCCUGAGACUUUAAGUCUCCUGAAGGAACGUUGAAGACGACGACGUUGAUAGGCCGGGUGUGUAAGCGCAGCGAUGCGUUGAGCUAACCGGUA